UAUAAUCCGCGACUCUCUGGCGCAAUAACCUGCUUAAAAGGGAAUCCGGUGUGAAUCCGGAGCUGGCGCGCAGCGGUAAUGGGGAACGAAAGCGAAUGAGUGAAAACUCAGGCACUGCCAUCCGGCGGGAAGCCGUCGCCGUAGGAAUGAAUCAGCCCCUGAGCCCGAAGACCUGCCAGAGCAAAAUCUGAGUC
rnacentral:ncRNA from 2 species